CUGAGUUAAGACGUCUGUCGGAAGCAUUAUGUCUAUCAUUAUAAAGCUAGGUUAUAUUUGGCAGCCGGACAGAAAAUACAAUACAUCCGUCAUAAAAUGAUAAGCUACCUUUGGGGUUCUGUAAUGAGUGAUGGUCGGUCUACAGAGGCGGCUGUAGGAAGUCCAUGAUAUGAGGUUGUCGUCGGGUUCCAUGGACGGGAGGGGCUUCCCACCAUACUCCCAACAUGUUAAGGGAAAGUUACUGCCCACAGCUGGUGUUAUCCAGUAUAUGCGCUAUGUAUCAAACUAAGCAUUGUAUGUGGGCCAAAUCAUUAGCUAAAUCUUGUAAUGAAUGUGGAGAUUAGCCAAGUUCAAUAGACUAGACUGUUUGUUAUAACCCUGGAUUGUACACUGAAAUAAUACAUUUAAUGAUUCACCGGUAGCUGGGGGGUGUGAGGUCUGUCUGAUAACGCUUCUCUGGUUUCUUGAUAAUCAAUUCGUACAGGCCCUAGUUUUAGCACGCCUGGGCUGCAGUCGAAACACUUAAGACGCACCCUGUCCCUUCAGCCCUCAUUAAGAUUUGCACGUGGGACAAUUCAUUUAACCUUACAUGAUGUCAAUGUUGCAAUUUAGCAAGUUGUGACAAAUUCUUGGUGUCCCUAGAUUGUUAAACUGAAAUGGUGUAAACGUAUUGCUGUAACGGUAGCUAAGAUGGGGAGGUCUGUCACUGGUAAAGCGCUGCUUUUCGAUCCACAAAACAAUUACUACAGGCUCUAGUUUUAUCACACCUGGACUACUGUACAGUUUUGUUAAAAGUGCCACAAAGGACAGGCAAAUUAAUUUGCACAGAAUGGGGUACUACUGCUGGCUCUUAAAGGGAUACUUCAGUGGUUUAUUAUGUUUUUUAUGAUGCCUUUUAUUUACUUCCCCAGAGUCUGACCUCAUGGAUAUCAGUUUGGUCUGCAUCCAGUUUGAAGGAAGUAGCCAGCUAUUGCUAAAUAGCGUUAACAAAAUGAAGUAAAGGGAAGUAGACAAUAGAGCCUUGUUGUCAAAAGCCUAAAGUAUCCCUUAAAAUGUACUAGUCACCCCCCCUCUGCUUGCCCUACCUAUAACCUCCCGAGUGGCGCACCUGUCUAAAGCGCUGCAUCUCAGUGCUGGAGACCUCACUGCAGAUGCCCUGGUUUGAAUCCAGGCUCUAUCACAACCGUCCAUGAUCGGAAAUCCCUUAGGGCGUCGUCCGGGUUUGGCCUGUGUAGACGUCAUUGUAAAUAAGAAUUUGUUCUUAAAGGACUUGCCUACUACAUAAAAAAAAAAAAAUGUAUUUAGAUGUACCCUACAGCUGAUGUCGGCAACAGUAUGCUUAAUCUCCAGUGUGGCAGUUUUAAUAUUUUUAUGAUGUCAAUAAAGUUUUAUAACAUGUG